rnacentral:rRNA from 1 species
GAUGAACGCUAGCGGCAGGCUAAACACAUGCAAGUCGAGGGGUAGUAUAGCAAUAUAUGAGACCGGCGCACGGGUGCGUAACGCGUGUGCAACCUACCUUGAACAGGGGGAUAGCCCAGAGAAAUUUGGAUUAAUACCCCAUGGUAUUAUUGGAUGGCAUCAUUUGAUAAUUAAAGUUCCAACGGUUCAAGAUGGGCAUG